GCCCUCGUACUCCGCCCCUGCCCCGCCCUCGUACUCUGCCCCUGCCCAGCCCUCGUACUCUGCCCCUGCCCAGCCCUCUUAUUCCGCUCCUGCUGCCCCCAAGUACGCCCCCAAGGUGAUCGAGAUCCUGAGCCAGGAGUUCGAUCUGCGUGACGACCAGUCCUACGAUUCCAGCUACCAGACUGCGAACGGCAUCUACGCCUCCGAGUCUGGUCAGGCCGUGGCCGGCUACGGAGAUGAGCAGAGCUACGCCGUCCAGGGCCAGUACAGCUACACCGGCGACGACGGUGUCAGCUACACCGUGACGUACGUGGCCGACGCCAACGGCUUCCAGCCGCAGGGUGACCACCUGCCGACUCCUGUGCCCACCGAGUACCCGACCCCGGAGGUGCCGGUGGCCCAGGCCAGCUACCAGGCGGCCCCUGCCCCCAGCUACCAGGCUGCCCCCGCCCCCAGCUAUCAGGCUGCCCCUGCCCAGAGCUAUCAGCCCGCCCCCGCACCCAAGUACCAGCCCAGAUACCAGUGAUCGUAAGUCAAGUGUUUCCUGUCCAUCGUUGGGAUAAGAGCAGUAUACACCGACUACGCUUGUAUGUUUGUCUAUUUAUGGUGAUGUUUGAAUGGAGCGUUUUGUUUGAUUGCCCUGUGUGACUUUUCAAUACAUGUGCAUCUCCCAAGAAA